UCCCUGGUGGCUCAGAGGAUAAAGUGUCUGCCUGCUAUGCAGGAGACCCGGGUUCGAUCCCUGGGUUGGGAA
rfam:TPA: Bos taurus chromosome 11, whole genome shotgun sequence.